rnacentral:lncRNA from 1 species
GCUUUUUUUUUUUUUUUCCAUGAGUUUUUGCCACGCAUUCACCUCCCAGCUUCACUCUCUGGAUUUCGUUCUUCCUCUAAACCCGGGGUUGAGCUAACGGGAACUAGAUGAACCCGCAGGGGGAAAUCACUUGCUUACUGACUCAGGAGCAUCCCCGAGAGUGCGUUUUGGGGUCCCUUCUGCACGCUCCCUUUCCCACCGGGCAAGGCCCAUAGCGCAAGUGGAGGUCGCACAAAGGAGGGGGCGUAAAAACAGCUUUAAAACGACCAGUGAAUCUCUCAGCACAAAUUACAGCAAACAGAACGCCGGAGAAAAACAUCUGUCCCUCGUUCUCAGUAACUUCCCUGGAAAAAGAUCAAGAAGUGAAGUGCAAUAGGA